CUUUAUUGGAGAGUUUGAUCCUGGCUCAGGAUGAACGCUGGCGGCGUGCCUAAUACAUGCAAGUCGAGCGAAUGGAUUAAGAGCUUGCUCUUAUGAAGUUAGCGGCGGACGGGUGAGUAACACGUGGGUAACCUGCCCAUAAGACUGGGAUAACUCCGGGAAACCGGGGCUAAUACCGGAUAACAUUUUGAACCACAUGGUUCGAAAUUGAAAGGCGGCUUCGGCUGUCACUUAUGGAUGGACCCGCGUCGCAUUAGCUAGUUGGUGAGGUAACG
rnacentral:rRNA from 1 species